rnacentral:tRNA from 1 species
CGUGGCUCAGUUGGUAGAGCAACUGACUCUUAAUCAGUGGGUCGUGGGUUCGAGCCCCACCGGG